rnacentral:rRNA from 1 species
UUUUGGACAAUGGGCGCAAGCCUGAUCCAGCCAUCCCGCGUGUGCGAUGAAGGCCNUCNNGUUGUNANGCACUUUUGUCAGGGNNNNNAAGGUUCUGGCUAAUACCCGGAACUGAUGACGGUACCUGAAGAAUAAGCACCGGCUAACUACGUGCCAGCAGCCGCGGUAAUACGUAGGGUGCAAGCGUUAAUCGGAAUUACUGGGCGUAAAGCGUGCGCAGGCGGUUCGGAAAGAAGGAUGUGAAAUCCCAGGGCUCAACCUUGGAACUGCAUUCUUAACUACCGAACUAGAGUAUGUCAGAGAGGGGUAGAAUUCCGCGUGUAGCAGUGAAAUGCGUAGAUAUGCGGAGGACUACCGAUGGCGAAGGCAGCCCCCUGGGAUAAUACUGACGCUCAUGCACGAAAGCGUGGGUAGCAAACAGG